rnacentral:rRNA from 1 species
GACAGAGGUGCCAAGCGUUAGGCGGAAUCACUGGGCUUAAAGCGUGUGUAGGCGGAUCGUUAAGUACCUUGUGAAAGCCCACGGCUCAACCGUGGAGGGUCAUUGGAAACUGGGGGAACUUGAGUGCAGGAGAGAAGAGUGGAAUUCCACGUGUAGCGGUGAAAUGCGUAGAUAUCUGGAGGAACACCGGUGGCGAAGGCGGCAUCCUGGACCGGCAUUGACGCUGAGGCGCGAAAGCCAGGGGAGCAAACGGG